GACGAACCGAGCGAACGUUGUUCGGAGUCACUGGGCUUAAAGGGCGCGUAGGCGGGUGCUCAAGUCUGUGGUGAAAUCCUCCGGCUCAACCGGAGAACUGCCAUGGAUACUGGGUGCCUCGAGGGUGGUAGGGGUAUGCGGAACUAUCGGUGGAGCGGUGAAAUGCGUUGAUAUCGAUAGGAACUCCGGUGGCGAAGGCGGCAUACUGGACCACUUCUGACGCUGAGGCGCGAAAGCCAGGGGAGCGAACGGG
rnacentral:rRNA from 1 species